CACCGCGGUUAUACGAGUGACCCAAAUUAAUACCUCCCGGCGUAAAGAGUGGUUUAAGGAUAAUCCAAACAAUUAAAGUUAAAAUUUCAUCAAACUGUUAUACGUACCUAUGAAUGAAAAAAUCAAUUACGAAAGUAACUUUAUAAAACAUUAAAAUUCUUGAUGCCACGACAGGUAAGCCC
rnacentral:rRNA from 1 species